UACGGAGGGUGCGAGCGUUAAUCGGAAUUAUUGGGCGUAAAGGGUGCGUAGGUGGUGAUUUAAGUUAGUUGUGAAAGACCUGGGCUUAACCUGGGGGCGUGAACUAAGACUGGGUCACUAGAGUACAGGAGAGGGCAGUGGAAUUUCCGGUGUAGCGGUGAAAUGCGUAGAGAUGGGAAGGAACACCGGCGGCGAAGGCGGCUGCCUGGCCUGUUACUGACACUGAGGCACGAAAGCAUGGGGAGCAAACAGG
rnacentral:rRNA from 1 species